GGCCUGUUGGUCUAGUGGUACGAUUCCUGUUUCGGGUACAGGUGGUCCCGGGUUCGAAACCCCGGACAAGCCC